rnacentral:lncRNA from 1 species
GGUGGAAGGGGAGAUUUUCCGCCUGGGGCUGCACUUGGAGGAGCUGAAGGAGCGGCUGGAGCCUGGGGCCAGGCGGCAGCUCCCCCCGCAAUGCCCGAACCAGCCCCGCUCCCCUCCGGCCCCUUCCCCGCCGCCGGCCGCCUGCUCCCCGCGCCCCGAGGUGAGCUGGGCAAGGCUUCAGGGGGAGCGGACGGGGCUGGGGGGUGCAAAGAAAGAUGCUGGGGUGGGGGUCGUGCUUCUCUGACCCCCUUUUGCUGUGCCCUGCAGAGCCCCGCGCUGAUGGAGGGUCCCCGGGGGACAGCGGGGGACGGCGAGGUGGUGACGGGGGGGGUUGCCCCGGCCCCUCUGGCACAAGCAGCUCCGAGUGGAGGAGGAUUUCGGUGACCUGCUGGAGCAGUACAAGCACUUCAAGUCCUUGCCAGAGUCGCUGAGCCUGGAGCAGCUGAGUCUGGCAGAGACUGGGUCCCAAGAGGAGGCGGAUAGACCUGCAGCAGGGGACGGUGGCCCCAGCAAGGUCGCCUGCAGGACACGGUCACUAGAGGAGGGGGUCGACCUCGAGACCUCCCCUUUGCACCCCGCGGAGAGGAGAGCUGCGCCGCUGCCCCCCAGGGAGCCUCCAUGGCCAGGGAGGACACGGGGCCACCUGUCCCCUGCCACCGCUGAGGAGCCACCGGCCACAGCCAAGCCCCCCCUGGGGCUCCCCGAGCCACCGCGGGUGCUCCUGUCCCGCCGCAGCAGCAGGGCGGGCAGCGCUGUCGCCCAGCACCAGCCCCGCAAGGUGAGUCCCCUGGGACUGCAGGCCCCAUCUGCCAGCACCCCCAGACCGUGCUGGGGGCUCCUGGGGGCGCUUGGCACCAAUCCUGCUCUCCUCGAUGCAUCUGCAGGAGCAUCGCAUUGUGUCACCGGAGACGGACAGCGGCUUUGUGGGCUCGGAGGCCAGCAGGGUGUCACCCCCCGUGCACACCCCUGAGCACCAGCCUCCCGGCACCGGGACCCCUGGCUUGCUGGGACCCUCCAUCCCCAUCCCUGCAACCCUCUGUCCUCCACGGAAGAGAGAGGCGAUCCCGCUUCCCUCCGAGACGGCGCUGAUGGACAUCUACCCCGUGGGCGAGCAGGGUGGCACCGGGGGGCCCCGCCUGCCCCCCAGCACCCCCUCGCAGGGCAGGUCCCCCCCGCGCUGGGCCGAGAGCGCGGGCAGCGAGGCAGGACCCGACGGUGACGGCAGUGAGUAGGCAGCGUUUCAGGGAGGGAUGUGUCCCCGGGGAGAGAGAUUUGGGGGGGG